rnacentral:misc_RNA from 1 species
GUGAAUCAUCGAAUUUUUGAACGCAAGUUGCACUCUCUGGUAUUCCGGAGAGUAUGCCUGUUUGAGGGUCAGUUUAAAUAAAAAUCGGUGUGGUUGCUGCCUUUCGUGGUGACGCACCGGAUGUGGGUCGUCUUGCCUUCGGUUAAGUGACCUAAAAUUUUGCAUGAUUUUUCGAAAGUAAUUAAAUGAUUUUUCGUACGUUUUCGGUUUCGAAUAA